GCCUAAGUCGGAUUAGCUAGUUGGUGGGGUAAAGGCCUACCAAGGCGACGAUCUGUAGCGGGUCUGAGAGGAUGAUCCGCCACACUGGGACUGAGACACGGCCCAGACUCCUACGGGAGGCAGCAGUGGGGAAUAUUGGACAAUGGGGGGAACCCUGAUCCAGCCAUGCCGCGUGUGUGAAGAAGGCCUUAUGGUUGUAAAGCACUUUAAGCGAGGAGGAGGCUACUUUAGUUAAUACCUAGAGAUAGUGGACGUUACUCGCAGAAUAAGCACCGGCUAACUCUGUGCCAGCAGCCGCGGUAAUACAGAGGGUGCGAGCGUUAAUCGGAUUUACUGGGCGUAAAGCGUGCGUAGGCGGCUUAUUAAGUCGGAUGUGAAAUCCCCGAGCUUAACUUGGGAAUUGCAUUCGAUACUGGUGAGCUAGAGUAUGGGAGAGGAUGGUAGAAUUCCAGGUGUAGCGGUGAAAUGCGUAGAGAUCUGGAGGAAUACCGAUGGCGAAGGCAGCCAUCUGGCCUAAUACUGACGCUGAGGUACGAAAGCAUGGGGAGCAAACAGGAUUAGAUACCCUGGUAGUCCAUGCCGUAAACGAUGUCUACUAGCCGUU
rnacentral:rRNA from 1 species